ACGAACGCUGGCGGCACGCUUAACACAUGCAAGUCGAACGAGAGAAGAGAAGCUUGCUUUUCUGAUCUAGUGGCGGACGGGUGAGUAACACGUGAGCAAUCUGCCUUUCAGAGGGGGAUACCGAUUGGAAACGAUCGUUAAUACCGCAUAACAUAAUUGAACCGCAUGAUUUGAUUAUCAAAGAUUUAUCGCUGAAAGAUGAGCUCGCGUCUGAUUAGCUAGUUGGUAAGGUAACGGCUUACCAAGGCGACGAUCAGUAGCCGGACUGAGAGGUUGAUCGGCCACAUUGGGACUGAGACACGGCCCAGACUCCUACGGGAGGCAGCAGUGGGGAAUAUUGCACAAUGGAGGAAACUCUGAUGCAGCGAUGCCGCGUGAGGGAAGAAGGUUUUAGGAUUGUAAACCUCUGUCUUCAGGGACGAAAAAAGACGGUACCUGAGGAGGAAGCUCCGGCUAACUACGUGCCAGCAGCCGCGGUAAUACGUAGGGAGCGAGCGUUGUCCGGAAUUACUGGGUGUAAAGGGAGCGUAGGCGGGAUCGCAAGUCAGAUGUGAAAACUAUGGGCUUAACCCAUAAACUGCAUUUGAAACUGUGGUUCUUGAGUGAAGUAGAGGUAAGCGGAAUUCCUAGUGUAGCGGUGAAAUGCGUAGAUAUUAGGAGGAACAUCAGUGGCGAAGGCGGCUUACUGGGCUUUAACUGACGCUGAGGCUCGAAAGCGUGGGGAGCAAACAGGAUUAGAUACCCUGGUAGUCCACGCCGUAAACGAUGAUUACUAGGUGUGGGGGGACUGACCCCUUCCGUGCCGCAGCAAACGCAAUAAGUAAUCCACCUGGGGAGUACGACCGCAAGGUUGAAACUCAAAGGAAUUGACGGGGGCCCGCACAAGCAGUGGAGUAUGUGGUUUAAUUCGAAGCAACGCGAAGAACCUUACCAAGGCUUGACAUUGAUUGAACGCUCUAGAGAUAGAGUUUUCCCUUCGGGGACAAGAAAACAGGUGGUGCAUGGCUGUCGUCAGCUCGUGUCGUGAGAUGUUGGGUUAAGUCCCGCAACGAGCGCAACCCUUACUGUUAGUUGCUACGCAAGAGCACUCUAGCAGGACUGCCGUUGACAAAACGGAGGAAGGUGGGGAUGACGUCAAAUCAUCAUGCCCCUUAUGACCUGGGCCUCACACGUACUACAAUGGCUGUCAACAGAGGGAAGCAAAGCCGCGAGGUGGAGCAAACCCCUAAAAGCAGUCUUAGUUCGGAUUGUAGGCUGCAACCCGCCUACAUGAAGUCGGAAUUGCUAGUAAUCGCAGAUCAGCAUGCUGCGGUGAAUACGUUCCCGGGCCUUGUACACACCGCCCGUCACGCCAUGGGAGUCGGUAACACCCGAAGCCUGUAGUCUAACCGCAAGGAGGACGCAGUCGAAGGUGGGAUUGAUGACUGGGGUG
rnacentral:rRNA from 1 species